GGAGGGUGCAAGCGUUAUCCGGAAUCAUUGGGCGUAAAGCGUCCGCAGGCGGUUUGUUAAGUUAGGUGUUAAAUCUUACAGCUCAACUGUAAAUCUAUACCUAAAACUAGCAAACUAGAGUACUACAGAGGUACGUGGAAUUCUGUGUGUAGGGGUAAGAUCCGUAGAUACACAGAGGAACACCAAAAGCGAAGGCAGCGUACUGGGUAGUUACUGACGCUCAGGGACGAAAGCGUGGGGAGCGAACGGGAUUAGAUACCCCGGGUAGUCCACGCCGUAAACGAUGGAUACUAGGUGUUGAGGGACUCGACCCCCCCUCAGUGCCCGACGCUAACGCAUUAAGUAUCCCGCCUGGGGAGUACGAUCGCAAGAUUA
rnacentral:rRNA from 1 species